rnacentral:rRNA from 1 species
UACGGAAGGCAGCAGUGGGGAAUAUUGCACAAUGGGCGCAAGCCUGAUGCAGCCAUGCCGCGUGUAUGAAGAAGGCCUUCGGGUUGUAAAGUACUUUCAGUCGUGAGGAAGGUGUUAAGGUUAAUAACCUUAGCAAUUGACGUUAGCGACAGAAGAAGCACCGGCUAACUCCGUGCCAGCAGCCGCGGUAAUACGGAGGGUGCGAGCGUUAAUCGGAAUUACUGGGCUAAAGGGCACGCAGGCGGUUAAUUAAGUUGGAUGUGAAAUCCCCGGGCUUAACCUGGGAAUGGCAUUCAAGACUGGUUAGCUAGAGUCUUGUAGAGGGGGUAGAAUUCCAUGUGUAGCGGUGAAAUGCGUAGAGAUGUGGAGGAAUACCGGUGGCGAAGGCGGCCCCUGGACAAAGACUGACGCUCAUGUGCGAAAGCGUGGGGAGCAAACAGGAUUAGAUACC